UACACAGGCUUGCUGCAGAGCGACAGGUGUCACUGCAUUGGUUAAACGCCUGUCAUGUUUCAUGAUCUCAGUCACAGAUCUUAGACCCCUGUCCCUGCUCGGCUUCGGAGCCUGUUACUAAAUCCCGUUCCCAGGCAGGUACCUACAGACUGUGACCAAGUUACCCCGGAGCCUUCUUUUUGUUAAACUAAACAGAUUGAGCUCAUUGAGGAAGGUUUCCUGGCCCUUUUGUCAUCUUCGUGGCUCUUCUUUGAAUCCUCCAACUGAUCGAUGUCCCUCGUGACAGGAGUCCAGCAGCCACCCCAGGAGGGCCGAAGACAGAGGUGAAAUAGACGUGUGAUUCCCCUGCUUCCUGGAUCCCAGAACGGCAUCGCGGCAUCGCCCUGGGAGCUCACGUUUCGCUGAUUAUCCCGUACUCCCCAGGCUAGUAGACCUGAACUGGAUGGGCCGUUAUGAACCCAGAUUUCCUUACACUCAACACCCAACCGACAUCGAAAGCUAAGUAUGGGACACUUCCAGCCCACUCAAUUAGCCUCGUUAGCACCAGCACUACUAUUGACAGAAAAUCAAUGCUGGUUUCCACGGCGGCUUCCCUCAGUGCUCUCAGCAAAAACAUCAGGUGCACAUUUCUACUUCAGCGGAGAACACGGAGCAUCCACCCCAGGAAGAAUCAACUCAGCAUUAGAGCUGGCUGAAAAAUCAAAUCAAGUUUCCAUGACAGUUUUGCAAGCAGUUUUGUUGACUGAAGGCUUUUUUGGAUUUUGUAUGUUUUUCAGAAUAUUGUUUGAAUCCAGACAUUUUAAGGGAGGUUUCCAACCACGGUCACGUUCAAAAUACUAAAUUUCCAAAUUCUGAAAUAAAACAUUUUUAAUUUUGUAAAAAUUCAACAUUUAGACAAAAUUGGCAGUGGGUGAAAAAUGGCAAAUAAAAAGCUGCACAAUUAGGAAAAAAAGGGGAAAGUUUUGAAAGAAACAUUUUAAAUUCUUGGGAAAAAUCACCUUUUUUGGCACAGUGGUCUUUUCUUAAAAAGCAGUAAAACAGCGUAUUAAAAAAAAGAAAGAAAAAGCGUUGAACAGAAAAAUGCCAGCCUCAAAUUUAAAAAAUAAAAUCGGAAUUCACUUUGGGCACAUUCCAACCUCUGUAAUGGUAUUCUGCCAGCCUAACAUUCCUUCAGCUAGUGUCCCUAACUUCUGCGUGUGGCCACGGAGUGAGGACACGCCCGUGCACAGCACAGUACUGACAUUCAAACUGCAGGGGACUUGUGCUCCCCUAAGGCCAGGCCCUACAAAGGGCUCAGUAGGGACAGAUGUCUCUCUCCUGCUCCCGCUCUGGGCUGGAACGGAUCUGGCAGCACAAAGUCUCCCUCCUGCCUCCUCAGCCAGGAAUUGCUUUCCCCUCUAAUUGGAGCAGCAGGAACACGGCCCUUUGAAGUCAGAGAUUCCCUUUUUAAUGCAGUUUUGGUUAGUGGCAUCUUGUGUUUGUGUAGAAGACGAGAUAAGACAAAGCAGGCAGGUGGGGAGCAGAGUUCGGGGUGGAGACUGACAGCCACAAACAGCCGGGGAACGUUGCUUAUUGCUGACGAGCAGAGGGGACUGGAGAGACUUGGUUGUAAAGCAUGUUCGUUCAUUCGUUCUUUUCUUCUUUUCCUCCUCGGCGAGGAUUUCUUGUGCGUUCCCCUCUUCUCU